GAUGAACGCUGGCGGCGUGCUUAACACAUGCAAGUCGAACGGAAAGGCCCAAGCUUGCUUGGGUGCUCGAGUGGCGAACGGGUGAGUAACACGUGGGUGAUCUGCCCUGCACUUCGGGAUAAGCCUGGGAAACUGGGUCUAAUACCGGAUAGGACCACAUUUUGGAUGGUGUGGUGGGGAGUUUUUCGGUGUGGGAUGAGCUCGCGGCCUAUCAGCUUGUUGGUGGGGUAAUGGCCUACCAAGGCGUCGACGGGGAGCCGGCCUCAGAGGGUGUACGGCCACAUUGGGACUUAGGUACGGCCCAGGUUCCUACGGGGGGCAGCAGGGGGGAAUAUUGCACAAUGGGCGCAAGGCUGAUGCAGCGACGCCGCGUGGGGGAAGGCGGCCUUCGGGUUGUAAAAUCCUUUCGCUAUGGACGAAGCGUUAUGUGACGGUACCUGGAGAAGAAGCACCGGCUAACUACGUG
rnacentral:rRNA from 1 species